rnacentral:rRNA from 1 species
UACGGAGGGUGCUAGCGUUGUUCGGAAUCACUGGGCGUAAAGGGCGUGUAGGCGGUCUGUUAAGUCUGAUGUGAAAUCCCCUCGCUUAACGAGGGAACUGCGUCGGAUACUGCGGGUCUCGAGGGUGAUAGGGGUAUGCGGAACUAUCGGUGGAGCGGUGAAAUGCGUUGAUAUCGAUAGGAACUCCGGUGGCGAAGGCGGCAUACUGGAUCACUUCUGACGCUGAGGCGCGAAAGCCAGGGGAGCAAACGGG